CCUGUAGUGGGGGAUAGCCCGGCGAAAGCCGGAUUAAUACCGCAUACGCUCUACGGAGGAAAGGGGGGGAUCUUAGGACCUCCCGCUACAGGGGCGGCCGAUGGCAGAUUAGCUAGUUGGUGGGGUAAAGGCCUACCAAGGCGACGAUCUGUAGCUGGUCUGAGAGGACGACCAGCCACACUGGGACUGAGACACGGCCCAGACUCCUACGGGAGGCAGCAGUGGGGAAUUUUGGACAAUGGGGGCAACCCUGAUCCAGCAAUGCCGCGUGUGUGAAGAAGGCCUUCGGGUUGUAAAGCACUUUUGUCCGGAAAGAAAACGCCGUGGUUAAUACCCGUGGCGGAUGACGGUACCGGAAGAAUAAGCACCGGCUAACUACGUGCCAGCAGCCGCGGUAAUACGUAGGGUGCAAGCGUUAAUCGGAAUUACUGGGCGUAAAGCGUGCGCAGGCGGUCCGCUAAGACAGAUGUGAAAUCCCCGGGCUUAACCUGGGAACUGCAUUUGUGACUGGCGGGCUAGAGUAUGGCAGAGGGGGGUAGAAUUCCACGUGUAGCAGUGAAAUGCGUAGAGAUGUGGAGGAAUACCGAUGGCGAA
rnacentral:rRNA from 1 species